GACGAACGCUGGCGGCGUGCUUAACACAUGCAAGUCGAACGGACAGGCCCCAUUGUGGGUACUCGAGUGGCGAACGGGUGAGUAACACUUGAGUAACCUGCCCUUGCCUUCGGGAUAACUUCAGGUAACUGGGGCUAAUACUGGUUCGGAAUCAUUUCUGCAUGGUGGGGGUUGGAAAGUUUCGGCCGUUUUGGAUGUACUCGCUGCAUAUCUGCUUGCUGCUGGGGUUGUGGCUUACCAAGGCUUCUACGGGUAGCCGGCCUGCGUGGGCGACCGGCCACAUUGGGACUGAGAGACGGCCCAGACUCCUACGGGAGGCAGCAGUGGGGAAGAUUGCACGAGGGGCGGAAGCCUGAUGCAGCAACGCCGCGUGCGGGAUGACGGCCUUCGGGUUGUAAACCGCAUUCAGCAGGGGCGAAGCUUGUGGUGACGGUACCUGCAGAAGAAGCACCGGCUAACUACGUG
rnacentral:rRNA from 1 species